GAUGAAGAACGUAGCGAAAUGCGAUAGGUAAUGUGAAUUGCAGAAUUCAGUGAAUCAUCGAAUCUUUGAACGCACAUUGCGCCCCCUGGUAUUCCGGGGGGCAUGCCUGUCCGAGCGUCAUUGCUGCCCUCAAGCACGGCUUGUGUGUUGGGCCUCCGUCCUCCUCCCGGGGGACGGGCCCGAAAGGCAGCGGCGGCACCGCGUCCGGUCCUCGAGCGUAUGGGGCUUCGUCACCCGCUCUUGUAGGCCCGGCCGGCGCUUGCCGACACAUCAAUCUUUUUUCCAGGUUGACCUCGGAUCAGGUAGGGAUACCCGCUGAACUUAAGCAUAUCAAUAAGCGGAGGA
rnacentral:misc_RNA from 1 species